rnacentral:ncRNA from 1 species
CAACCUCACUCAUAUGGACUACCCCCCGGAUUAAGCAUAUUAAUAGGGAGGAAAAGAAACUAACAAGGAUUUUCUUAGUAGCGGCGAGCGAAAAGAAAACAGUUCAGCACUAAGUCACUUUGUCUAUAUGGCAAAUGUGAGAUGCAGUGUAUGGAGCGUCAAUAUUCUAGUAUGAGAAAUUAAUGAUUUAAGUCCUUCUUAAAUGAGGCCAUUUACCCAUAGAGGGUGCCAGGCCCGUAUAACGUUAAUGAUUACUAGAUGAUGUUUCCAAAGAGUCGUGUUGCUUGAUAGUGCAGCACUAAGUGGGUGGUAAACUCCAUCUAAAACUAAAUAUAACCAUGAGACCGAUAGUAAACAAGUACCGUGAGGGAAAGUUGAAAAGAACUCUGAAUAGAGAGUUAAACAGUACGUGAAACUGCUUAGAGGUUAAGCCCGAUGAACCUGAAUAUCCGUUAUGGAAAAUUCAUCAUUAAAAUUGUAAUAUUUAAAUAAUAUUAUUAAGAAUAAUGUGCAUUUUUUCCAUAUAAGGACAUUGUAAUCUAUUAGCAUAUCCCAAAUUUAUCAUAAAAUAUAACUUAUAGUUUAUUCCAAUUAAAUUGCUUGCAUUUUAACACAGAAUAAAUGUUAUUAAUUUGAUAAAGUGCUGAUAGAUUUAUAUUAUUACAGAGCGUUAAUUUUUCGGAAUUAUAUAAUGGCAUAAUUAUCAUUGAUUUUUGUGUUUAUUAUAUGCUCUUGUAUGAUUAACAAUGCGAAAGAUUCAGGAUACCUUCGGGACCCGUCUUGAAACACGGACCAAGGAGUCUAACAUAUGUGCAAGUUAUUGGGAUGGUCAACCUAAUAGCGUAAUUAACUUGACGUAAUAAUGGGAUUAGUUGUGGGAUCCCC